rnacentral:sRNA from 1 species
GAAAUAUACAGAGAGAUGUUAUUCAAG